UGGGCGCAAGCCUGAUCCAGCCAUGCCGCGUGGGUGAAGAAGGCCUUAGGGUUGUAAACCCCUUUCAGCGGGGAAGAUAAUGACGGUACCCGCAGAAGAAGUCCCGGCUAACUCCGUGCCAGCAGCCGCGGUAAUACGGAGGGGACUAGCGUUGUUCGGAAUUACUGGGCGUAAAGCGCGCGUAGGCGGAUUUGCAAGUCGGGGGUGAAAUCCCGAGGCUCAACCUCGGAACUGCCUUCGAUACUGCAAAUCUCGAGUCCGGAAGAGGUGAGUGGAAUUCCUAGUGUAGAGGUGAAAUUCGUAGAUAUUAGGAAGAACACCAGUGGCGAAGGCGGCUCACUGGUCCGGUACUGACGCUGAGGCGCGAAAGCGUGGGGAGCAAACAGGAUUAGAUACCCUGGUAGUCCACGCCGUAAACUAUGGGUGCUAGCCGUCGGGGAGCAUGCUCUUCGGUGGCGCAGCAAACGCAUUAAGCACCCCGCCUGGGGAGUACGGUCGCAAGAUUA
rnacentral:rRNA from 1 species